CGUCGGUCCUCUCGCGACGAUAGCUUGCAAACCCCGCCAGGCCCGGAAGGGAGCAACGGUAGUGAGUGAUUCGGGUGCCGGGAUGUGGCUGGCGGAG
rfam:Xanthomonadaceae bacterium SCN 69-320 ABS97_C0019, whole genome shotgun sequence.